UACGGGGGGGGCAAGCGUUGUUCGGAAUUACUGGGCGUAAAGGGCGCGUAGGCGGGAUGGCAAGUCGGUCGUGAAAUCCUUCGGCUCAACCGAAGAACGUCGAUCGAUACUGCUGUUCUUGAGGGUUGCAGAGGAGACUGGAAUUCCCGGUGUAGCGGUGAAAUGUGUAGAGAUCGGGAGGAACACCGGUGGCGAAGGCGGGUCUCUGGGCAGUAACUGACGCUGAGGAGCGAAAGCGUGGGGAGCGAACAGG
rnacentral:rRNA from 1 species